rnacentral:rRNA from 1 species
CCUACGGGAGGCAGCAGUGGGGAAUAUUGCACAAUGGGCGAAAGCCUGAUGCAGCAACGCCGCGUGAAGGAAGAAGGGUUUCGGCUCGUAAACUUCUAUCAACAGGGACGAAAGAAAUGACGGUACCUGAAUAAGAAGCCCCGGCUAACUACGUGCCAGCAGCCGCGGUAAUACGUAGGGGGCAAGCGUUAUCCGGAAUUACUGGGGGUAAAGGGUGAGUAGGCGGCAUGGUAAGCCAGAUGUGAAAGCCUUGGGCUUAACCCGGGGAUUGCAUUUGGAACUAUCAAGCUAGAGUGCAGGAGAGGAAAGCGGAAUUCCUAGUGUAGCGGUGAAAUGCGUAGAUAUUAGGAAGAACACCAGUGGCGAAGGCGGCUUUCUGGACUAAAACUGACGCUGAGGCGCGAAAGCGUGGGGAGCGAACAGGAUUAGAUACCCUUGUAGUC